GCCGCGCCUAGCCUUUGGCCGGGCGAACCAUGGACCCCCUUUCACCCAUGUUGGCGCGGCUCCCCACCUGAAAGG
rfam:Methylocaldum sp. 175 genome assembly, contig: JC06DRAFT_unitig_0_quiver.5